rnacentral:rRNA from 1 species
GACGAACGCUGGCGGCGUGCCUAAUACAUGCAAGUAGAACGCUGAAGGAGGAGCUUGCUUCUCCGGAUGAGUUGCGAACGGGUGAGUAACGCGUAGGUAACCUGCCUGGUAGCGGGGGAUAACUAUUGGAAACGAUAGCUAAUACCGCAUAAGAGUAGAUGUCGCAUGACAUUUGCUUAAAAGGUGCACCUGCACCACUACCAGAUGGACCUGCGUUGUAUUUGCUAGUUGGUGAGGUAACGGCUCACCAAGGCAACGAUACAUAGCCGACCGGAGAGGGUGAUCGGCAAAACUGGGAAUGAGAAAAGGCCCAGAAGCAUAAGGGAGGCAGCAGUAGGGAAUCGGCGGCAAUGGACGGAAGUAUGACCGAGCAAAGCCGAGGGAGUGAAGAAGGUUUUCGGAACGUAAAGCUCUGUUGUAAGAGAAGAACGAGUGUGAGAGUGGAAAGUUCACACUGUGACGGUAUCUUAACAGAAAGGGACGGCUAACUACGUG